GAUGAACGCUAGCGGCAGGCUUAACACAUGCAAGUCGAGGGGCAACACGGGUAGCAAUACCUGGUGGCGACCGGCGCAAGGGUGCGUAACGCGUGAGCAACAUGCCCUAUACAGGGGGAUAAUCCAGGGAAACUUGGUCUAAUAUCCCAUAGUAUUUAGAGGUGGCAUCACCACUAAAUUAAAGCUUCGGUGGUAUAGGAUUGGCUCGCGUGACAUUAGCUGGAUGGUGGGGUAACGGCUCACCAUGGCGAUGAUGUCUAGGGGUUCUGAGAGGAAGACCCCCCAACUGGGACUGAGACACGGCCCAGACUCCUACGGGAGGCAGCAGUGAGGAAUAUUGGACAAUGGAUGGAAAUCUGAUCCAGCCAUGCCGCGUGCAGGGAAGACGGCCCUAUGGGUUGUAAACUGCUUUUAAUGGGAGCAAUAAGGUUUACGCGUAGACCGAUGAGAGUACCAUAUGAAUAAGCAUCGGCUAACUCCGUCG
rnacentral:rRNA from 1 species